AUGCAGUUCAUAGUGAAUUAAAACACGCUAUAGGCAGAUGAAUAAAUCUUUGUCAUUGUGUGGGUGAAGUUCAUGCAGUUCAAGUAGUUUGUUUGCUGUACACAUAAGAAUAGCAUGUUUGUCUUAUAACCUAACCCUAGAGGGCGUAAAGUUGUCAAUCUUAGCAUUUUUUAAUUGCACUGGUUGUGACCGACCUGUAAGCCAAUUGGAAAGGUGGAGGGGUGGGCUGUUUAGAAGACCCCCGUAGAGCAAAGCCGUAGGCUAGUCAGACGACAAAUAGGAGCUGUGUGAAGACUGUUUAUGUUCAUUACUUUGGUGGAUGCAGAGUUUUACCGACGGGUAAUGGACAUCAUAGCCACCUGCAGAAGAACCAGGAAACACUCCGUGGACUCUAUGGAAGAGUAGAUGUCUCCUGCUCAGCUAUCACUUCGUCUGGACUGUUGUCGCCCGCCAGCCUGUAACCUCACUCAUCAUUCCCCUCGUCACGCAUCGCCCCGUUCCCAUGUUUCAACUCAGGGAUUUGUGACGACCACUCCUGCGGAUGCCAGAGUCCAGUCUCUCCCUAUUAUCACAGGUCUCACUGUGCAAGGAGAACCUCAACCUGAGAUCCUGUGUACAACCAAAUGGAUGCUGUCGAUGGAGACCUGACUUCACCACCACCUUGGCUGUCCUUCACAUUUUACAACAUGUUCACCGUUGAAUAUCAGGAGGAAACAACAACAUCGCUAGAUAGUUUAAUUCAAUUUGCUGAAGAACACAAAGCAGCAGUGGAGGAUCAAAGUGAAAUCACCCAGCUCCUGACCUGUGGCCCAGUCCACUUGCAAAAGUAGACUGAAGCGGGCUUCUGGACUCUUUAUGCAAGUAUGUAUCCGCAAACACAAUUUUAAAGACUCUAAGAACACCUGCCUACCUGGUGAAUUGAGGUCUCCCAUAGUUGAAUAUCCAUGUUUAGAUUACUGAAGAGUGUUUUGUUUCAAGGAAAGUACAGUCUCUAGUAUAUUGUCAAAUUCAGUAAUUUGUUUAACUGUGGCAACAGAUUUAAACAAGUUUUUAUGUGCUGGAUUUUUAAUGUUGUCUUUGUAACACAUGCUAAUGUUUGUAAUAUAAACAUUUAAAAAUUUUGUUGACCUUGAAUGACUUUAGAGGACAGAAAGUUGCACCCUACUUUUAUGGCUAAAGGGGAUGUGGUAGAAUGUAUGUAGUAUGCAGCAGUAAGCCAUAACUACCUUGUCAUGUCACCAGCUCUAACACUAUUGAAUUGUUUUGGAUUUCGUUGUGUUUUCUACAGUUUUACUCUUGAUUCAUGAAAGCAUCUACAACAGCAUCUUAUUAAA